AGAGAUGAAAAAUCCCUAGAUCUAAGCCAGCCGAUUGCCGACGGAAUCGAUCGCCUCCAUCGCCGUUUCACGACAGCUUCAGGGUAUCGAUUUGGUCACCGGAGGCAAGAGCAAGAAGACCAAGCGCACGGUGCCGAAGUCCGACGAUAUCUAUCUCAAGCUUCUCGUCAAGGGUUGGGAAGACUUCUCUGAUGAAUCAGGUUGGGGGACCGCUGAUUGUGCUGUAUAGGUAUGUGAAUCGCAAGUUCAGCAAUCAGUAUAAGGCGACGAUCGGAGCUGAUUUCUUGACGAAGGAAGUUCAGUUUGAGGAUAGGUUGUUCACAUUGCAGGUGAGCCCCAAAAAAAGGUUCCCGAACGAGGUGUGAAUUGAGCGUCUCCAUUUUUGAAUCGGGUGGUUUCUUUCAGUCGUUCAGAGCUUGAGGAUUGAGCAGAAGAAAGCCUAAUUUAAUUGGCUGCAUACAAAGGAUAUGCUGACACAAUCAAAUUACUUCUUUUUAGAGAUGCAUCCCAGGGAAGACAAGAUAAAGAAGGUGUAGUGAGUAUACGCAUGGCAAUCUUACUUCUGUUUUGUUGGUCCUCAUGAUGAGAUGGUUUAUCAGUAGCUCAAAUCCAUGUAUAAAACCCAUGAGCACUUCUGUUGGAUAAUCUUAGAAGAUGUUGUGAUUUUGGCAUGCUGUAUUAGGUUUUGCACUUUAUUCGAUCAAAGCAAGUUUUAAUGCUAAGAAUGGGAGCAAUCAUUGUUUCUAAUGCGGUACUUUUUUUGUA